rnacentral:lncRNA from 1 species
GUGAAAAACAAAUAAUUAAAUGAUGAUAAAAUGUGCCCUUCUUAUAGUGUAAGACUGCUGACAAAACUACCAACAAACACACAGGUGUGUUCCCAAAUCAUCUAAACAAUUAAAUAAUUAUAUUAUAAUUAUUUAAUAUUUACAAAUUGCAUAUUAGUGCAGUGACCAUUAUACUAGUUUUUUCCCCUUUAACAUUUUUAUAUUAUAUACUGUUGUACAGUACAGUCUAAGAAAGCAGAUGACAGGGGGAUCUCAUAUUACUACAUUGAUUAGUUCCACAG